GACGCUUUUUAUCUAAGUACGAGACAAGUAGACCGGGCGUGGUUGUCCUAUGUAGUAUAAAAGACACGGUCGCCUCUAUACAGGCAUCACUUGUGAUAACACGAGCAACACAAACCUCAACAAUGUUCUUCAGAGUAUUCCUCCUGUUCGCCCUGGUGGCUUUGGCUUUCGCCAGCCCCAAGCCUGAGCCUCAGGUGCUCACUUACGGAGCCCCCGGCGUGUACUCUGGGUUCGGCUACUCUGGCUACCCAUACGGCUACACUGCUGGCUACGCUGCACUCCCCUACGCUUACAACGGAUACUACGUCCGCUAACAAGUGAUUCAAACAACGACACAUUGCUAAUGACUCCGAUGUACCAAAACGUUCUCGAUAAUAUAGUUCAUACUGCAUA